GUCGAGAGAGAGAGAGAGAGAGAGAGAGAGAGAGAGGUGGCGUGGUCGGGAGAGAGAUAGAGAGUGGUGGCGUGGUCGGGAGAGAGAGAGAGGUGGCGUGGUUGAGAGAGAGAGAGGUGGCGUGGUCGAGAGAGAGAGGGGUGGCGUGGUCAAGAGAGAGAUAGAGAGUGGUGGCGUGGUCGGGAGAGAGAGAGAGUGGUCGGGAGAGAGAGAGAGAGAGAGGUGGCGUGGUCGAGAGAGAGAGAGAGUGGUGGCGUGGUCGAGAGAGAGAGAGAGAGAGAGAGAGUGGUGGCGUGGUCGAGAGAGAGAGAGAGAGAGUGGUGGCGUGGUCGAGAGAGAGAGAGAGAGAGGUGGCGUGGUCGGGAGAGAGAGAGAGGUGGCGUGGUCGAGAGAGAGAGCGAGAGACAGAGGUGUAUAGCCAGCCAGUACUGUAGUGAUUACUCACUGCAGCCUAACAUUGUACAGUGGGUACAUUAUGUCAACAUUGUCGAGUAAGUUCUGCCAAACAAAAGCUAGAAGGGCUCCUAAAUACUAUGCAUUCAUUGGUCUGUUAUGCAUUUCCACUCAAGUAAACCUAAAUGUCAAUGGUCUGGUCUGUGUAGUGUACGCAAUGUAAUGACUACUCAGUAAGGUCUACUUUAUACACUGGGUUCAUUGUAUCAACAUUGUGGAGUUAAGUUUUGCUUUAAUGGCAGACGUUUGGAAACCAUUCAAGAAAAUGUGUAGGCUACACGUGUAGUAUUUCAAAUGAUUUUACACAUUGUACCAAAACUAAAUGUAUGAAAUCCAUGUUACCUGCUUUAACUUCCUACUUUUCUACGAUGACGUAAUACCUUCAGUUCAGACGGUUUAGCUGCUGCGUCAUCAAAACGAUGCUCGCGCUUCAAAGGGGC
ensembl:lncRNA